rnacentral:rRNA from 1 species
CCUACGGGUGGCAGCAGUGGGGAAUAUUGCACAAUGGGGGAAACCCUGAUGCAGCAACGCCGCGUGAAGGAAGACGGCUUUCGGAUUGUAAACUUCUGUUCUUAGUGAAGAAUAAUGACGGUAGCUAAGGACCAAGCAACUGCUAACUACGUGACAGCAGCCGCGGUAAUACGUAGGUGGCAAGCGUUGUCCGGAAUUACUGGGUGUAAAGGGAGCGAAGGCGGGAAGCCAAGUCAGCUGUGAAAAUUACGGGCUUAACUUGUAGAUUGCAGUUGAAACUGGUUUUCGUGAGUGAAGUAGAGGUUGGCGGAAUUCGUGGUGUAGCGGUGAAAUGCGUAGAUAUUCGGAGGAACACCGGUGGCGAAGGCGGCCAACUGGGCUUUAACUGACGCUGAGGCUCGAAAGUGUGGGGAGCAAACAGGAUUAGAUACCCGAGUAGUC